UACGGAGGGUGCAAGCGUUAUCCGGAUUCACUGGGUUUAAAGGGUGCGUAGGUGGACAGGUAAGUCAGUGGUGAAAUCCCCGAGCUUAACUCGGGAACUGCCGUUGAUACUAUCUGUCUUGAAUAUCGCGGAGGUAAGCGGAAUAUGUCAUGUAGCGGUGAAAUGCUUAGAUAUGACAUAGAACACCGAUUGCGAAGCAGCCUACUACACGAUCAUUGACACUGAGGCACGAAGCGUGGGAGCAACAG
rnacentral:rRNA from 1 species